CACCGUUUACUAGAAAAUCAGUAUCCUACUCGGAUAACUGUGGCAAUUCUAGAGCUAAUACGUGCGAAAAAGCUCGUUUCGCAAGAUUCGAGCGCAUUUAUUAGAAUAAAAACCAAUCGGGCCCAUAAAGCCCGUAAUUUGGUGAAUCUGAAUAACUUUGCCGAUCGCACGGUCCUAGUACCGGCGACGUAUCUUUCAAGUGUCUGCCUUAUCAACUUUCGAUGGUAGGUUAUACGCCUACCAUGGUAGUAACGGGUAACGGAGAAUAAGGGUUCGACUCCGGAGAGGGAGCCUGAGAAACGGCUACCACAUCCAAGGAAGGCAGCAGGCGCGCAAAUUACCCACUUCCAGAACGGAGAGGUAGUGACGAAAAAUAACGAGACAGUCCUCUUCGAGGUCUGUCAUCGGAAUGGGUACAAUUUAAAUCCUUUAACGAGGAUCUAUUGGAGGGCAAGUCUGGUGCCAGCAGCCGCGGUAAUUCCAGCUCCAAUAGCGUAUAUUAAAGUUGUUGCGGUUAAAACGCUCGUAGUUGGAUCUGCGGCCUCGGAGAACGGUCCCCCGAAAGGGCGGUCACUGUUACUCCAAGCCUAAAUAUCUAGUCUACUCUACGGUGCUCUUAACCGAGUGCCUAGAGUGACUGGAACGUUUACUUUGAAAAAAUUAGAGUGCUUAAAGCAGGCGAAAUAGCCUGAAUAAGGUGCAUGGAAUAAUGGAAUAGGACCUCGGUUCUAUUUUGUUGGUUUUCGGAGCCCGAGGUAAUGAUUAAGAGGAACAGACGGGGGCAUUCGUAUUCCGGCGCUAGAGGUGAAAUUCUUGGACCGCCGGAAGACGGACGACUGCGAAAGCAUUUGCCAAGAAUGUUUUCAUUAAUCAAGAACGAAAGUUAGAGGUUCGAA
rnacentral:rRNA from 1 species